AAAAAAAGAGAGAAUUUCAUUAAGAUGAGACGAUAAUACAAAUUGGGGAUAAGGAUUCCCUAUACAAAGAAUUGGGAAUAAGGUUUUUCACACGCACAUCAGUUUUUCAGGCACGCUAUGAAAAUACUCUUGUUGUUAAACUGGAUAUUGCAGCACGAGAGGAAUUCAAACUCAUAGAACAUAGAUUUGAACGACUAUGGGAACGGUUAUCUCGAUCCCAGAUUCAGGAGGCAUCCGAAGAAACGGGGGGAGGUGGUUCUGGAUUCAGUGGAGAAAGAGGACGUUGUCUCCUCCGAUGGCUCUGAAGAGGCUGAUUCUGAUGGACGAAAGACUUCCAUGCUGUCCAACGACCUCAAUAAAAUGCCGGAAGAGAAUGAAUAUCCUUAUAGUGGAAUGUCUCCUGAUAAGAAGAAUGUGUGGCACUUGGCUAUGUGGGCAACAUGAUACUUAAAUCCUUGAGGGCAAUGCUUUAGUUUAGGUGAAGAAUUUUGAGUCAGGUUGCAUAGGAUAGCCGAGACAAAACUAUGCUAUAUUAAUUAAGGAGAAUAUAUUUUCACCUUUUAUUUAUCAUGGCACUGUCUGAUCUUUAAUUUUUUAUGUAGUUCUUAUUUUAAAGAUUUUA